rnacentral:rRNA from 1 species
UACGUAGGGGGGCGAGCGUUGUCCGGAUUCAUUGGGCGUAAAGCGCGCGUAGGCGGCAGGGCAAGUCGGCCGUGAAAUCUCCCAGCUUAACUGGGAGGGGUCGGGCGAGACUGCCCCGCUAGAGGCGGGUAGAGGGCAGUGGAAUUCCGGGUGGUAGUGGUGGAAUGCGUAGAGAUCCGGAGGAACACCAGUGGCGAAGGCGGCUGCCUGGGCCUGGCCUGACGCUGAGGCGCGAAAGCGUGGGGAGCGAGUCCGG